AUACUUAUCUGGCAGAGGAGAUACCAUGAUCAUGAAGAUGGUUUGCCCAGGGUGAGGCUUAUCCUUGGCACUCCAGAUGUGCUAACCUCUGAGAUUUCCCCAAAUGUGGGAGACUCAACUGCAUAGCAUAAUUUGUGGUAGUGGGAAACUGUGUUCACACUGAA
ensembl:snRNA U1 U1 spliceosomal RNA